rnacentral:tRNA from 1 species
GGAACAUUAGCUCAGUUGGUUUAGAGCAUUACUUUGACAGAGUAGGGGUCACUGGUUCGAGUCCAGUAUGUUCCACGA